AGGAUGAACGCUAGCUACAGGCUUAACACAUGCAAGUCGAGGGGCAGCAUGGUCUUAGCUUGCUAAGGCCGAUGGCGACCGGCGCACGGGUGAGUAACACGUAUCCAACCUGCCGUCUACUCUUGGACAGCCUUCUGAAAGGAAGAUUAAUACAAGAUGGCAUCAUGAGUCCGCAUGUUCACAUGAUUAAAGGUAUUCCGGUAGACGAUGGGGAUGCGUUCCAUUAGAUAGUAGGCGGGGUAACGGCCCACCUAGUCUUCGAUGGAUAGGGGUUCUGAGAGGAAGGUCCCCCACAUUGGAACUGAGACACGGUCCAAACUCCUACGGGAGGCAGCAGUGAGGAAUAUUGGUCAAUGGGCGAGAGCCUGAACCAGCCAAGUAGCGUGAAGGAUGACUGCCCUAUGGGUUGUAAACUUCUUUUAUAAAGGAAUAAAGUCAGGUAUGGAUACCCGUUUGCAUGUACUUUAUGAAUAAGGAUCGGCUAACUCCGUGCCAGCAGCCGCGGUAAUACGGAGGAUCCGAGCGUUAUCCGGAUUUAUUGGGUUUAAAGGGAGCGUAGAUGGAUGUUUAAGUCAGUUGUGAAAGUUUGCGGCUCAACCGUAAAAUUGCAGUUGAUACUGGAUAUCUUGAGUGCAGUUGAGGCAGGCGGAAUUCGUGGUGUAGCGGUGAAAUGCUUAGAUAUCACGAAGAACUCCGAUUGCGAAGGCAGCCUGCUAAGCUGCAACUGACAUUGAGGCUCGAAAGUGUGGGUAUCAAACAGGAUUAGAUACCCUGGUAGUCCACACGGUAAACGAUGAAUACUCGCUGUUUGCGAUAUACAGCAAGCGGCCAAGCGAAAGCGUUAAGUAUUCCACCUGGGGAGUACGCCGGCAACGGUGAAACUCAAAGGAAUUGACGGGGGCCCGCACAAGCGGAGGAACAUGUGGUUUAAUUCGAUGAUACGCGAGGAACCUUACCCGGGCUUAAAUUGCAGAUGAAUUACGGUGAAAGCCGUAAGCCGCAAGGCAUCUGUGAAGGUGCUGCAUGGUUGUCGUCAGCUCGUGCCGUGAGGUGUCGGCUUAAGUGCCAUAACGAGCGCAACCCUUGUUGUCAGUUACUAACAGGUUCCGCUGAGGACUCUGACAAGACUGCCAUCGUAAGAUGUGAGGAAGGUGGGGAUGACGUCAAAUCAGCACGGCCCUUACGUCCGGGGCUACACACGUGUUACAAUGGGGGGUACAGAGGGCCGCUACCACGCGAGUGGAUGCCAAUCCCAAAAACCUCUCUCAGUUCGGACUGGAGUCUGCAACCCGACUCCACGAAGCUGGAUUCGCUAGUAAUCGCGCAUCAGCCACGGCGCGGUGAAUACGUUCCCGGGCCUUGUACACACCGCCCGUCAAGCCAUGGGAGCCGGGGGUACCAGGAGUGCGUAACCGCGAGGAG
rnacentral:rRNA from 1 species